rnacentral:rRNA from 1 species
UACGGAGGGGGCUAGCGUUGUUCGGAAUCAUUGGGCGUAAAGGGCGCGUAGGCGGCCGAUCAAGUCGGAGGUGAAAUCCCUCGGCUCAACUGAGGAAUUGCCUUCGAUACUGUUCGGCUUGAGUCCUGGAGAGGGUAGCGGAAUUCCCGGUGUAGCGGUGAAAUGCGUAGAGACCGGGAAGAACACCAGUGGCGAAGGCGGCUACCUGGACAGGUACUGACGCUGAAGCGCGAAAGCUAGGGGAGCAAACAGGAUUGAGAAACCCUGGGU